CUUGCUGAAUUUAAGUGUAUUUGUCAGUGGGAGAAAGGAAACGUAACAGGGACUCCUUUGGUAAUGGUCCGUGACCAUGGAUGAGCCCACACAGUGGUAGGACAUGAGAAAUAUGGCAAAUGGUAAAGACCCACUCAGAGGGGGGCCUGAGUCCUUCUGUUCAAGUCCCCACCUGCGGAUGGUGUGAGGUCAGUAGCAGCCCCUGGAGCACUGAGCCUGAGUCCUCUCAGAGUUUUGCUGCUCAGGCAUGCAGCCCAAGGUGGGUGGCAAGCUCCUUCUAAGGCUAAAUGAUGGCACAAACUCAAUCGUCAACAAGUACUGGAAAGAAAUGUUGAAAAGCACUUUGAAGAGCGAAUUCAAGAGAGCACGAAGUUGUUAUGAGGUGUGACCUCAGAUGAGAUGUGGCAACUCCACACCCUUGACCCUGGG
rnacentral:ncRNA from 1 species